UGGGGAAUCUUGCGCAAUGGGCGAAAGCCUGACGCAGCAACGCCGCGUGGAGGAUGAAGGCCCUUGGGUUGUAAACUCCUGUCGGCUGGGAAGAAAUCGUUCGCGGCCAAUACCCGCGGACGUUGACUGUACCAGCAAAGGAAGCCCCGGCUAACUCUGUGCCAGCAGCCGCGGUAAUACAGAGGGGGCUAGCGUUAUUCGGAAUUAUUGGGCGUAAAGGGCGCGUAGGCGGCCAUGCGUGUCUUCCGUGAAAUCCCUCGGCUCAACCGAGGACGUGCGGAAGAAACUGCAAGGCUUGAGUCCAGAAGAGGGGGGCGGAAUUCCCAGUGUAGCGGUGAAAUGCGUAGAUAUUGGGAGGAACACCGGUGGCGAAGGCGGUCCCCUGGGCUGGUACUGACGCUGAGGCGCGAAAGCGUGGGUAGCAAACGGG
rnacentral:rRNA from 1 species